CUUUAAAAUGCACCCCUUUUCCUGAGGUGUGCCCAAGAUGGUGCUUGGUCAACUUUAAAUGAUUUGAAGUGAUCGAUGUGAUCAGCCACAGCUGGGAUGUGAUGAGGACGCAGACAGAUGUAACCACGAAAGACCCAACCACAGAGAGAGCCCACAAACUUUGGAGAACCAGUACAGCUUUUAAAACUUAAUGCAACCAAAAAAAAGAAAACUUGAACUCACCGACGAAGCUUGGGCUCCCCAUCCACCGCUACGCCGUCAAGACCGGCGUGCAGAAGCAUCAACCCUGGCCUUGGGUGAUCACAUGGAGAACCAUUAUCCUUCCCUGCUGUAGACAUUGUUACAAACUGCCUGAUAUGAGUGACUUGUUACGUUGCUUCUGCUGCCACCAUGGAGACACAGAGCUACAAGAACAGAAAAGAAAAAUCCUCAGCUGAAUUCAGAGCAAUAGUAGUGAGUUACAAGAACAUUCAUAGAAAUGCAGUGGAGUCAAAAGGACAUUAUUUGUCUUUCAGGUGUAGCAGAGUAGAAGAAAUAACUUACCCCCCAAAAUAAAGUGCAGAUACCCAAAAAAUGCACCAAAGUACAGUACUCAAGUAAAUAUUAUUCGUACUGUCUACCACUGAUUGUAUGCUGAUCCUUUCAGGGUCGCCAUUUUUGGACAUUUUUUAUAACUUUAUUUUUCAAUUGUGUAACACCAAUGUAACAUACAACAUCUAUGGACAUUACACUGUGUGGCAUUAUAUUUCUUGGCUGUUUCACACUUUAAUGUUUCAGCUGCUUUGUUAAGUAUAUUCUUAGGAAAAGCAUCAUAUGUCUACGGAAGAGUAUCCUAUUCACACGAGAAAAAAAACUCUGUUCUGUUUAUGAAUUAACAAAAUAACCGGUGCCUCAGUUGCACUUUGUGAGCAUUUUAGAUGCAUCGUUUUAUAUCAAUGAAGCAUGCCAUAUCUGCUUAGCUGAUCCUGGAGAAAUGCUGCAACGUCAAGCAGAUCAGAAUGGACCUAACGUUGAAACAACAAGUCCUCAGGUGCCUGCGCAAUGUUGACAAUAUCAUCUAUGUUACUUAUAGACACUAGAAUCUCCCAAUGUCUUGAACCCAAAGUAAAAAAAAGAAGAUUAAACUGAACGAAGGGGGCAUGUUUAGGCUCCUUCCAAUUGUGUGGCCUUGAGGUACUGUUGGGAUUUUACUGUAGAGGUAUGUCGUUAAUUCAGAAAAACAGAGACAACUUUUUUAUUCCGAUGUAAAUGCAAUACGCUUCCGAAUAAAUCCACCUUAGUUCUUGGUUA